AAUUCAAAAAAAAAAGAAAAAUAUUAAAAAUAAAUAAAUAAAAGAGCGGAAAAAACAGACAAAAAUUAAAUAAACUAAAUUAAAAACAAAAAAUCUAAUAAAAUAAUGUGUAAGAGCAACAAUAAAUAAUGCUAAAGAGUCCAAAUUGCACACAUAUAAGAACAAUUAAAGCAUAUUUUCGUAUAUAAUUAUCACAAAAUAUGCUUAACUUUAUAAAAUUUGCAAAAUGCUAAAAUAAAAAGCCCAGUUUUUCAAUCCAAAAACGAAUUUUUUGAGUUGCAUACAUAAGCAUUUGUAUACACAACAAUAACGACGAUAACUCUAACUCUAUAUUGGAAGUAACGUACUUAUAUAGAAUGUGAUACACGCAACAUUCAAAUACACGCAAAAAAUUUUUGUUAGUGUAAUGUGUGACGGUUAAUUUGCAUAAAAUUCCAAUACGAAAUUUAAGUGAAUGUCACGCCUAAAAAUUUUAGUAUGAAAAUACAAAGAAAGUAAUAAGCAGCGGAUAGGAAUAAAAACGCAACUUAAAAUAAAAAUAGCUAAAACAAUAAAUAAUAAAAGUAGAAAUGUUAAAAAGGGAAAUUACGCUUGUCUUAUGAGCGAAGUGGCGCGCUUGUCUUUUUCAUCCGUACUGGCAUUUGCUUCAUACGCAUUCGUUUGCAAUUGCACACUAAGAAGUUUGCUUGUUUUGUUUUCUCAGUUACGUUAGAGAGCAGCAGAGCAAUAAUAUGUGAAGAAAUUAAAAAUGUACAAAAAACAUAUGGGGUUUAGCAAAACGAGGAAGAAGAUCUGCACUACAAUUAUUAAGAGAAAUAUAUAAUUUAGUAAACAAUUUUGUUUUUAGUACAAUGAUUUUGUAGUAAUACAUAUAAGCAUUUAAUUGUUCAAAUAUAAAAUUAUAUGCAAACGUUUCGAGAACAAUAUCGUAGUUUCAAGUAGAAUUUAGUACAAAAUUUAAAACAAUUAGUAACGAACAAUGCCGAGGCAUCAAUUUUGACUGCGUCUGCAUUGUUCAGACAUUAAUGUUAGCCAAUCUACCAUUUACAUGUAAGACUACAUACCCAAACACACAAAAUUUGCAUGUUCGUUAAUUAAUUGGUUUUUAACUUUUUAUGUUAAGUUCACUACACACUUUUCGGCGAAAUUGUAGCAGAGACGUAAUGUCAUUUACAUACACUUCAUAGCCACAGCACUCACCU